AUGGCAUUGGUUCUACGAUACGUGAGUGGUGGGCUGUCGUAUGAGAGGUUUGUAGGUGUUGUUCACAUUGAGGAGACUACAACUACCUUUCUCAAGUCCAAAAUUGAUUUUAUGAUUGCAAAGUUUGGUUUGAGUUUAAAACAAGUGAGAGGACAAGGGUAUGACAGUGCAAGCAACAUGGCAGCCAUUGCAAAGAAAAUUACUGAUGUUGGAGAUUUGUAUGAUAUGAUAUCACUUAUGGUGACUGUUGUUGGAUCAUCUAAGAGAAAGAAUAAACUUAGAGUGGAUCAUCAAGAAGAAGUGAGGAAAGCAAUUGGUAAGGGUGAGAUUGCUACAGGAACUGGACUAAAUCAAGAGCUUUCUCUUCAAAGGCCAGGAGAUACUAGAUGGAACUCUCACUAUAGAACUUUGGAAGGUUUGUCAAAGAUGUUUCCAUCGGUGGUUAAAGUGCUAGAAUAUGUUGAGGAAGAUGGUACUGAUCCUAUUAAGAAACGUCCAGCCAGUGGGAUUCUGAAAUAUUUUCAAUCAUUUGAUUAUGUAUUCUAUCUGCACAUGAUGAUGAUUAUAUUAGCUUUAACAAAUGGGCUAUCUAAAACAUUUCAGAGAAAGGAUAUGGACAUUGUUCAUGCCAUAUCAGAUGUGGAAUCUACUAAGAGAGAGCUACUAAAGCUUAGAUCUGAGCAUGGUUGGAAUGAUCUUGUAGACAAGGUACGUUCUUUUUGUGAGAAGAAUGACAUUUUAGUGAUGGACAUGGAAAAUGAUUAUGUGAAUCCAAAGAAGGUAAGGCAAAGGACCGAUAUUAACAAUGAGCAUCAUUAUCGGAUUGAUUGUUUCUUUGCUGUCCUAGAUAUGUUGGUAGAAGAGUUAAAUGGAAGAUUCAAUGUUAUCAAUUCUGAGUUACUUUGUUGUAUGUCAGCUUUGAGUUCAAGUGAUCAGUUCGGUCACUACAAUGUUGACAAGUUGAAGAAAUUGGCUUAG
rnacentral:rRNA from 1 species